UUGAGCCUACGGGACGCAGCAGUGAGGAAUAUUGGUCAAUGGGCGCAAGCCUGAACCAGCCAAGUCGCGUGAGGGAUGACGGUCCUAUGGAUUGUAAACCUCUUUUGUCGGGGAGCAAGGCCCGCCACGUGUGGCGGGAAGGAGAGUACCCGAAGAAAAAGCAUCGGCUAACUCCGUGCCAGCAGCCGCGGUAAUACGGAGGAUGCGAGCGUUAUCCGGGUUUAUUGGGUUUAAAGGGUGCGUAGGCGGAAGGGUAAGUCAGCGGUCAAAUGUCGGUGCUCAACACCGGCCUGCCGUUGGAACUG
rnacentral:rRNA from 1 species